rnacentral:rRNA from 1 species
AGUGAACGCUGGCGGUAGGCCUAACACAUGCAAGUCGAACGGCAGCACAGUAAGAGCUUGCUCUUACGGGUGGCGAGUGGCGGACGGGUGAGGAAUACAUCGGAAUCUACUUUUUCGUGGGGGAUAACGUAGGGAAACUUACGCUAAUACCGCAUACGACCUACGGGUGAAAGCAGGGGAUCUUCGGACCUUGCGCGAUUGAAUGAGCCGAUGUCGGAUUAGCUAGUUGGCGGGGUAAAGGCCCACCAAGGCGACGAUCCGUAGCUGGUCUGAGAGGAUGAUAGGCCCCACUGGAACUGAGACACGGUCAAGACUCCUACGGGAGGCAGCAGUGGGGAAUAUUGGACAAUGGGCGCAAGCAUGACCCAGCCAUACCGCGUGGGUGAAGAAGGCCUUCGGGUUGUAAAGCCCUUUUGUUGGGAAAGAAAAGCAGCAGGUUAAUACCCCGCUGUUCUGACGGUACCCAAAGAAUAAGCACCGGCUAACUUCGUG